GUACCCGCUGAACUUAAGCAUAUCAAUAAGCGGAGGAAAAGAAACCAACAGGGAUUGCCUCAGUAACGGCGAGUGAAGCGGCAAAAGCUCAAAUUUGAAAUCUGACUUCGGUCCGAAUUGUAAUUUGUAGAGGAUGCUUCGGCUUACGUCUCGGUCUAAGUUCCUUGGAACAGGACGUCACAGAGGGUGAGAAUCCCGUACGUGGCCGCGACUUCCGCCAUGUGAAGCUCCUUCGACGAGUCGAGUUGUUUGGGAAUGCAGCUCUAAAUGGGAGGUAAAUUUCUUCUAAAGCUAAAUACUGGCCAGAGACCGAUAGCGCACAAGUAGAGUGAUCGAAAGAUGAAAAGCACUUUGGAAAGAGAGUUAAAAAGUACGUGAAAUUGUUGAAAGGGAAGCGCUUGCAACCAGACUUGCCCGCGGAUGCUCAACCGGUCCUUCGGCCGGUGCACUCUUCCGCGGUCAGGCCAGCAUCAGUUCGGGCGGUUGGAUAAAGGCCUUGGGAAUGUGGCUCUUCGGAGUGUUAUAGCCCUCGGUGCAAUACAACCAGCCUGGACUGAGGUCCGCGCUUCGGCUAGGAUGCUGGCGUAAUGGUUGUAAGCGGCCCGUCUUGAAACACGGACC
rnacentral:rRNA from 1 species